rnacentral:misc_RNA from 1 species
GUAGGUGAACCUGCGGAAGGAUCAUUGCCAAAUCAUAUGAAGACUUUGUCUUCAGAGAUGUCCAUGUUUUCAUGGCUCUCAUAUCAACCUGUGUAUUGUUUGACAAAAUUAGGCCUAAUAAAAAAACAACUUUUAACAAUGGAUCUCUUGGCUCUU